GGAUUGAUGAUGAGUCCCCCAAAAAAAACAUUCCUUGGAAAAGCUGAACAAAAUGAGUGAUAACUCAUACCGUCACUCUCAUUAGAGCUGAGGUCC